UACGGGGGGGGCAAGCGUUGCUCGGAAUCACUGGGCGUAAAGGGUGCGUAGGCGGGUCGUUAAGUCAGGGGUGAAAUCCUGGAGCUCAACUCCAGAACUGCCUUUGAUACUGAAGAUCUUGAGUUCGGGAGAGGUGAGUGGAACUGCGAGUGUAGAGGUGAAAUUCGUAGAUAUUCGCAAGAACACCAGUGGCGAAGGCGGCUCACUGGCCCGAUACUGACGCUGAGGCACGAAAGCGUGGGGAGCAAACAGG
rnacentral:rRNA from 1 species